rnacentral:tRNA from 1 species
ACUAUUUUGGCAGAGAAAAUGUAGUGAUUUUAGAAGUCAUGAAUAUAUAUUUUUAAAUAUAUAUAUAGUA